GCCGCUGUAGCACAGUUGGUAGAGGCGUCGCCAGUAGGUACUAAUGGCGAAGGUCGCUGAUUCAAAUCCAGCCUGCGGUG